CAAUCAGGGACUUGUUUCUUUAUCCAGACACUUGAAUUCACUUUAAUUCUCAGUAUUUUUUUUUUCUUAUGGAAAAACGAGGGGCAAAAAAAGAAAAUACGCGCGUGCUUUAAGGCCACGUUCAAACUGGAAACAUGUUCUGGGAAAUAUCAGCGAGACAAAACACCCAAGAAGAGGAAUUAAACAAAUGCUUUAUAUAUACAUAAGACGUCAGGAGUGGCAGCAGCAUGGGCCGGUUGUGGAUUUAAAUGUGAGGGAGACACGUGGACGAGCAGAGGAGGAACAGAGGAGAAGAAAGAGAACUGCAGG